CACAAUGAUGACAGUUUAUUUGCUACUCUUGAGUGCUAGAAUGAUGAGGAUCUUAACCACCAUUAUCUUAACUGAGGCACCCAAAAUGGUGAGUUGGGGAACAUAGAGAGUACACCUAAGUUCACAUGAAGUUGUUUCUUCCCAGGUCCUAAAGAGCAAGCCUAACUCAAGCCAUUGGCACACAGGUGAGACACCUCUAUUUUGUACUUCUCACUUUUAAGGGAUUAGAAAAUAGCCAAAGCAAUGAUGAUUAUCUAUGUUAGUGCUUCUCUCCCCUCUUUUCAAAUGAGAAUUUUGCUCUCAUAUUGAUACUAAGUUUAAUACUGAAGAAAAUGUGAAAACAGAUACUAUGAUGGUUGCAUAGUUCAGCAGAUUUAAUCAUGAAGAGAUGUACUAUCUGUCUGAUGUAUCUG
rnacentral:lncRNA from 1 species